rnacentral:rRNA from 1 species
AUAUGACCUAGGUGGGAUUAGCUAGUUGGUGAGGUAAGGGCUCACCAAGGCGACGAUCCCUAGCUGGUCUGAGAGGAUGAUCAGCCACACUGGAACUGAGACACGGUCCAGACUCCUACGGGAGGCAGCAGUGGGGAAUAUUGCACAAUGGGCGCAAGCCUGAUGCAGCCAUGCCGCGUGUGUGAAGAAGGCCUUCGGGUUGUAAAGCACUUUCAGUCGUGAGGAAGGUAGUGUAGUUAAUAGCUGCAUUAUUUGACGUUAGCGACAGAAGAAGCACCGGCUAACUCCGUGCCAGCAGCCGCGGUAAUACGGAGGGUGCGAGCGUUAAUCGGAAUUACUGGGCGUAAAGCGCAUGCAGGUGGUUUGUUAAGUCAGAUGUGAAAGCCCGGGGCUCAACCUCGGAAUUGCAUUUGAAACUGGCAGACUAGAGUACUGUAGAGGGGGGUAGAAUUUCAGGUGUAGCGGUGAAAUGCGUAGAGAUCUGAAGGAAUACCGGUGGCGAAGGCGGCCCCCUGGACAGAUACUGACACUCAGAUGCGAAAGCGUGGGGAGCAAACAGGAUUAGAUACCCUGGUAGUCCACGCCGUAAACGAUGUCUACUUGGAGGUUGUGGCCUUGAGCCGUGGCUUUCGGAGCUAACGCGUUAAGUAGACCGCCUGGGGAGUACGGUCGCAAGAUUAAAACUCAAAUGAAUUGACGGGGGCCCGCACAAGCGGUGGAGCAUGUGGUUUAAUUCGAUGCAACGCGAAGAACCUUACCUACUCUUGACAUCCAGAAAACUUUCCAGAGAUGGAUUGGUGCCUUCGGGAACUCUGAAACAGGUGCUGCAUGGCUGUCNNCAGCUCGUNUUGUGAAAUGUUGGGUUAAUUCCCGCAACGAGCGCAACCCUUAUCCUUGUUUGCC